UCAACAUAGGAGAGUAAGAGCCCCUCCUCCAGCUGGGGCAACAUUGGGAGUAGAAUUUCUACCCAUGGAGUUUCUCCAAAGAAGGUGUCUGGUUUCAAGAGCCAGGCUGUGUUUUCAAAUGACAGUUCAGCACCUUUGAGAGUGACAUCAUGGCAAGAGUGAUGGUAUUAAGUCCAGUGUUGGUACCAGAGGAUGGCAAGAGCUCAGAUGUAUGGUGAGCUGGCUGCCCAGCAAAAGCUGUUGGUGAAAUAGGAAUAACAACAAUACAACAAUAUGGAAUAUUACUACUUGUUCACUCUCUUGAAGACAUCGCAGAUCCUGGACCUUGGAAUCUCUUCUCUUACAUCUGCUUUUGACAAAAGCUUGUAUAGUGCAAGAGGCAAUUUAUCUUUCUCUGAUGUAUUUCAGCAGGUUCCUACCACUAUGCCUCUGGGUUUGUUUCUAAGAAGAUAUUCCCUGUGCCUUCAUGUAUGACUCUUAUCAGCCAUGGCUCUCCCUUUGUUCUUCUGCCCUUCUGACAUUGGCAACAAGAGAAGGCAGCCAUGGGAACCUGUCAGUUUUCUAAUUUACUUUUCAGCAUUGCAUAUCAUUAUUUCCAGUGGGCAAAAGGCAAAAUGAAUGAAUGACAGAGAUGUAGAAAUGAAACUAGAAUGGUACUGUAGAUUGGAUUUGCUGCAGAUAGAAGCUGAGACAGAGUUUAAGGAGCAGGUUAUCAGGUAUCAACAUCUCUGGGUGGGGGAGAUGAACUGUGAUGUAACCCAACAAAGACUUGACCAACCCAGUGGGGAGGUCUGGUAGGUAUGUGGUACCAACAGAGCUAUUCUGUAGGAGAUGGGCUGUCUUUUAAGGGCAUGACCUUAGACGAUGUAAGGAGUCUCUUUGUAGUUGAAUAGGACCCUCCAGGGCCUGAGGGAUAUCUGCUGACAGCACUCCCAAUAGCAGGGACAGCAGAUUCUCCAUUGAAGGAGACCCUGGGUGUGCUGCUCCAUGUCCUCCACAAAUGGACUGCACUGGACCACCCAACCAGCUGUUCAGACCAAUAACACAAGUCAGGUUAGGCAAAAUCCCACUCCCUCUGUACAAACACCUCACAGUUGUUCAGGAUUGAUGUAUUUGACUAACUUAGCCCGUUGUUUUGGUGUUGUAUAGUCUUACUUCAACCUGGAUGAUGGCUUUGUUACAUUGUAACUAGUGUAGGCAAAGUCUUGAUGGAUCAUUGAGUUGAAACUAGAUGAAUUUGUUGAUUACCCUAAACAUAUUUUUAAAAGCUUAAUGUUCUACAUUAUAAAUUACCUUUUGAAGUUACCUACUUCAUCAACAUCACAUCAUUGCUGUCAUUACCAUUAUAAGUGUUCCCAUUAACAACAACAAAAGCAAGAGUAAAACUAAGCAUUUAUACUCUUUGAGAGGAAUAUAAACUACUGCUGCUCUCCCUGUAUUCUUCUCCUUCUUGUUGACCCAGUAA